UCUGAGUCGUUAAUAACAUGGUACAAAAACAACUACAACUUUAUUAAUACAACCCAUAAACUGUGAGUUUAAAUAUAAAUAUUGUCAUCUAGACAAUAUACAUACCCAACUAAGUCCUCAUUACAAUUAUUGAUACAAUACUUUACAAAAAUGGUGAAGACUACUAAAACAACUUCAUAGAACCUUCAUUCCGUACCCUGACUAGUACUCGCUACAUUCUCGCCUCCUUUGAAGAAAAAUGGAACAAAAAGGAAAAGGGUGAGCUCAACUAGCCCAGUAAAGAAUAUUAUGACUAAGAUAAUAUAGAACAAAUUAUCGUUAGUCUUCA
rnacentral:lncRNA from 1 species